rfam:Myotis brandtii contig236963, whole genome shotgun sequence.
CUCGGGGGGAGGGGGUACCUCAGCCUGGAUUGCAAGAGGGUGCAGGCCAGGUCGAGCGACCCCACUGGUGCACA